UGGAUAUAGCAUUAUUAAGAACUUUUAUGGCAUACAGUCAUAGGUACCUUUCAGAGCACCUACACUUUUCAAUGAUUUUCUUAAAACCAAGAGAAUAUUCAAAUGUAAUUUGGAACUCUGUGCUCAAAGAAUAGAGAAGCAUAUGAAUAAGCAAGUUUUAUUUGAAUGUGUGUGUAUAAUAUAUAUUUUACAGACCCUGCUGUAUAGCACUUAUUUUCAACCAACAAUGUGCUAGGCACUUCACAACUUGAGCACCUUUUUAAAAAAAAGCACAUAAAAGAUUCAACUUUCUGGUAAAAACCCAAUACAUUUCCCUCAUGGGUAUGGCAUACAAUGAAAUACAAUUAUGGUAUAUGAUAAGGCACAUUUUCUGUAUCUCCAGAAAUAAUAGCAGUCCCUUCCAUUGAGGUUUACUUCCCUUUUUUUCUAUGAUGGAGGUAGAAUGUUGGAACCCACCUGUGGUUCUUUUUUCCUUAAGACAUGAUUGAUUUGAUUAUCUUCUUUUCCAACAACAGAAAUUUUUCUUCUCCUCAAUAUAUGGAGGCCAGAUGAAGCAUACCUACCAGCUGCCAUCCUGUAUUUAACCGUAUUUCCAAACCUCAACCCAAUGCAAGUAGAAAGGAUAGUUAAGAUCUCAACAACAUCCUUCAAAAACUGAAUUUAUUCCAAAGCCUGUCUUUCUGUAGUUGGGUUUGAUUGUACCUAUCUGCAGCUCUUCCAGAGGUAUUUUGUGAGUAAAAAGCUCUUGCUUUCUCUGGCAAUUCAAAUUUCUAAAUAAAAUAAUGGGAAAAAGGCGAUUCUUGCUGCUUAGCAGAAAGGCUAGUACCUAUUAAACAGUUUCCCAGCCAGCAUGGGAAUAUUGGGAGUUGAAGUCCACAAAUUUUAAAACCUUAGCAAGUUGCAGGGGUGUCAAACUCGUGGCUCAUGGGCUGGAUGCAUCACGUGCUGGCAAUGUCCACCCCCAUUUUAGCAAAGGGGGGGAAGGCAUGAUACGUAAUGUGAUGACAAUGUGACACCACAAGUUUGACAUCCCUGCACUAUUGUGUUUUUUUAAUUCCCUUCAGACUCCUGAGGAAAGUGGGAAAUACUUUUAUAUUAAAGACAAAGCAAAGUCAUUCGUUAUUAUAUUCCCUUCAAGAUUUAACUUAAAAAAACAAAACAAAACUAUAGCUAAAGGGAAAAAAAAAACCACAAUGUACUUCUUCAUUGACUGGACAGUUCUUAUUUAGUAAACCAUUGGUUUUAACUUUCAUGAAUGUAAAUUCAAAUAUUAUCAGGAAUGUAUAUAAUGCUUUAGUGAGGCACAUGUUCCAUGGUUUACAUGGAGAAUUUAAAUCAAAUGAUGCUAUCUUGUCCUCAAAAAACACUUAAUGCCAAGUCCAUAUUUGCUUUUACUGAGGCUUAAAUAUGUCUUAAAUCAACAGGAUGACAAAGAUCAGGCUCUGUGUUACAUGUUUAUAUGUUAAAAUGCUAUACUCAGGUUACUCACAUUUUAAACCCAAAAUGAAAAAUUUAUUAACAGACAUUGUUGUUCCCUUCCCCUGCCCC